rnacentral:snRNA from 1 species
GUUCGAAUCCAGGUGCUAACGUUCCUCCCCUUACAGCGAUACAGAGAAGAUUAGCAUGGCCCCUGCACUAAGGAUGACACGCUUCAACAAAGAGUAGCUAAAAGUUUUU